UACGAAGGGGGCUAGCGUUGCUCGGAAUCACUGGGCGUAAAGGGUGCGUAGGCGGCGCGGUAAGUCGGGUGUGAAAUCUUGGAGCUUAACUCCGAAACUGCAUUCGAUACUGCCGUGCUUGAGGACUGGAGAGGAGACUGGAAUUUACGGUGUAGCGGUGAAAUGCGUAGAUAUCGUAAGGAAGACCAGUGGCGAAGGCGGGUCUCUGGGCCGUAACUGACGCUGAGGAGCGAAAGCAUGGGGAGCGAACAGG
rnacentral:rRNA from 1 species